UGGGGAAUAUUGGACAAUGGGCGCAAGCCUGAUCCAGCCAUGCCGCGUGAGUGAUGAAGGCCCUAGGGUUGUAAAGCUCUUUCACCGGUGAAGAUAAUGACGGUAACCGGAGAAGAAGCCCCGGCUAACUUCGUGCCAGCAGCCGCGGUAAUACGAAGGGGGCUAGCGUUGUUCGGAUUUACUGGGCGUAAAGCGCACGUAGGCGGACUUUUAAGUCAGGGGGUGAAAUCCCGGGGCUCAACCCCGGAACUGCCUUUGAUACUGGAAGUCUUGAGUAUGGUAGAGGUGAGUGGAAUUCCGAGUGUAGAGGUGAAAUUCGUAGAUAUUCGGAGGAACACCAGUGGCGAAGGCGGCUCACUGGACCAUUACUGACGCUGAGGUGCGAAAGCGUGGGGAGCAAAACAGGAUUAGAUACCCUGGUAGUCCACGCCGUAAACGAUGAAUGUUAGCCGUUGGGGGAGUUUAACUCUUCGGUGGCGCAGCUAACGCAUUAAAC
rnacentral:rRNA from 1 species